GGAGGCAUCGUCUAGUGGUAGGACGGCAGAUUGACAUUCUGCAAGCACGAGUCCGAUUCUCGUUGCCUCCA
rnacentral:tRNA from 1 species